rnacentral:lncRNA from 1 species
UUAAAUAAAAAUAUCAGUGUUUUAUAAACCUUGUCUUGCUAAAACUUUUCUUUUUCUCUUUUUUUUCAAUGAUGGUUGAUCUGUGAAAGAAAAUCUCCCGUGAGUUUAGUAGUAUGCUCUGUGUUUGCCAUAUGAUGGAUCCUGCACAUUAGAAAACUAAGCUUAGACCAGGGGUACUAAUUUCAGUUGGAUUUGAAGAAGUAGUCGGGUUUAAUGGAUUAACAGCUAAAAGGCAGUGCCUGUUUGAUGGCCAAAAAGAAGGGCCUUGUUUUGUGGCAUAACAUACCUGCUGUUAAGUUUAUUAAAUCUUGAUAUCCUGGCCUUGAAUCCCACUGCAAUUUGGCAUAUUAUAGAUUUUAAAGAUUUUUUAUGUUUUGACUUCACAUUUAGAAUAAACUUGGAUAAAUAAAUGUCGAGAUACAACUAGAGGUGUCCAUAAGAUUGGCCGAGUUUAGGUUGGGCCCAACCAAAAUUGUCAGGCCUAGGUCUAACUCGAAUAAUAGGCCUAAUAUUUUGCUCAAGUUCGAUCCAAAUAAAAAUGUUAAAACCCCAGCUUGGCCUGACUCGGCCCGCAUGUAUUAAUUUUUUUAUAUUAUUGAUUAUAUAAUUUAAAAAAACAUAAAAAAUACUAAAAUAUUAAAAUAAAUGUUUCCCAACAAAUAGAAAAUAAUAAAUAUAUGUAUAGUUAAAUAACAUUAAGAUAUGUGCAAUUUAAUAAGCAAAUGCCUCUAAAAUAGUAACAAAAUUAACAGUAAAAUAAUAGUUAUACAAUAUUCAAAUAAUAAUAACAAAAUAGUACCAACAUAACAGUGAAAUAGUAGCAAAAUAGUGAAAAAAUAACAAGAAAAUAGCAAAAAAGUAAAAAAGCAAGGAAAAGCAACAUUUUUUUUUCAUAUUCGAGCCAGGCUGAGCUGGGCUUGGGC